UUCAUUCCGGUGAGGCUCCGCCGGGAUCCGUUCGCAUCCACGCCGCCCGCGUCGCCAAGCCCCGGCCGCAGCCAUCGAUUCCUGUCGUUCCCGAGUCCCCUGCUUCGCCCCUGCAUCCUCUGCUUCGAGCAAGAGGACGAGCGCGCCGCCCCUGCGUUGACCCGCACACUGCCUCGCUUGACAGUCCUCCCCAUCUCGCUGAGUCCAGAUGCGCGCCUAAGCAGCCCAAGCCGGCCUGCUCCUCCAUGCCCUCGCGGGCCGUCUCCAUCGACUGGGCUGAGGCCCAUGGUGAGAACUCUCACCCCAGCACCCCAAACGACUGUUCACAUUCGGCCCGUUACGUUCUUUUCAGUUCUGGAGGUUUUUCCUAAUUAUACAGAGAAUGCCAGUAUUGCAGAAAAUCCCUCCAUGUUCAUACAUAUAAUAACUCCAUAACGGUGCAUCGAAUUAAAAUGUUUUAAAUACAAAAAAUGCUUAGAAUUUCAUCUAGUUUCAUAAUAUCCAACUUUCAUGCAUAUUUAACAUGCUUAAAUUGUUGUUUGAUUAAAUUUGCUCAAAUGCCAUGCUAAAAUGUUUUAUUUCAAAACUAAAUAAUCGUAGGUCCAUUUUAAAUAAAAUUUAUAUGUAAAUGGGGUAGAAAAAUGCAUAGAUUAACAUGGUGGCAUUACUUUGCAUGUUUAUCAACACUAAAAUAUGUUUUAGGGAAUAACAGUACCAAAUGUAAAAUAUGCCCAUGAGGAUUUUUCCGGACUUGUUGCUUGUUGUUCCGGCCUCAUUUAAACUUGCCUAGAUAGGUAGUUUUAUUAUGCUUCACCUCUUGCCAUGUUUAAUAACAUUUAAUAUUGUUGGGUACAUAACCGAGAGUGAACUAAAUGUUUGAAUGUGGUGUUUUCUUCAAUAUGCAACUCCGUUGCAUAUUGUGCUCCACUUAAUUUGUGGUAUUGUUUGUUGCACUUUGCCAUGCCAUGAAUCAUUAAAACGGACAUGCAUCAUACUUGGUUGUGCAUCAUGCCAUGUUUAUGUGAUGGUUGUUUACUAUGUUGUUUGCUUCUUUUCGGGUUGCUUCUCUGUUAGCUUUGGUUUCUUUCCGGAGUUGUGAGGAUUCGUUCCACUACGUCCGUUUGUCUUCUUCAUGGACUCGUUCUUCUUCCUUGCGGGAUCUCAGGCAAGAUGACCAUACCCUCAAAAUCACUUCUAUCUUCGCUUGCUAGUUGUUCGUUCUAUCGCUAUGUCGCGCUACCUACCACUUGUUAUAUCAUGCCUCCCAUGUUGCCAUGUCAAGCCUCUAACCCACCUUCCUAGCAAACUGUUGUUUGGCUAAGUUAUCGCUUUUGCUCAGUCCCUCUUAUAGCGUUGUUAGUUGCAGGUGAAGUUGAAGUUUGUUUCAUGUUGGAACAUAGAUAUGUUGGGAUAUCACAAUAUCUCUUAUUUUAAUUAAUGCAUCUAUAUACUUGGUAAAGGGUGGAAGGUUCGGCCAUAAGCCUGGUGUUUUUUCCACUCUUUGUCGCCCUAGUUUUCGUCAUACCGGUGUUAUGUUCCUUGAUUUUGCGUUCCAUCCGCGGUUGGGUGUUAUGGGAACCCCUUGACAGUUCGCUUUGAAUAAAACUCCUCCAGCAAGGCCCAAUCCUUAGUUUUACCAUUUGCCUCACCACCACCUAUUACUUUUCCCUUGGGAGUCACGCUCCCGAGGGUCAUCUUUAUUUUAACCCACCUGGGCCAGUGCUUCUCUAAGUGUUGGUCCGAACCGAGCCGCGUGCGGGGCCACCUCGGGGAAACUCGAGGGCUGAUUUUACUCGUAGCUUGUCUCAUCUGGUGUUGCCCUAAGAACGGGAUACGUGCGACUCCUAUCAGGAUUGUCGGCACAUCGGGUGGCUUUGCUGGUCUUGUUUUACCAUUGUCGAAAUGUCUUGUAACCGGGAUUCCGAGACUGAUCGGGUCUUUAUGGGAGAAGGAAUAUCCUUCGUUGACCGUGAGAGCUUGUGAUGGCCUAAGUUGGGACGCCCCUGUAGGGUAUAAACUUUCGAGAGUUGUGCCCGCAGUUAUGUGGCAGAUGAGAAUUUGUUAAUGUCCGGUUGUAGAGAACUUGACACUUGACUUAUUUAAAAUGCAUCAACCGCGUGUGUAGCCGUGAUGGUCUCUCUCCGGCGGAGUCUGGGAAGUGAACACGGUCUUGUGUUAUGCUUGAACAUAAGUAGUUUUCAGGAUCACUUCUAGCUUCUCAAACGUUGUGUUGCUUCUCUUCUCGCUCUUAUUUGCGUAUGUUAGCCACCAUAUAUGCUUAGUGCUUGCUGCAGCUCCACCUCACUACCUUCUCCUACCCAUAAGCUUAAAUAGUCUUGAUCUCGCGGGUGUGAGAUUGCUGAGUCCUCGUGACUCAUAGAUACUUCCAAACAGUUGCAGGUGCCGAUGAUACCAGUGCAGGUGGCGCAACCACGCUCAAGUGGGAGCUCGAUGAAGAUCUUAGUCGUUGUUUUUUGUCUUUUCUGGAUGAUCAGUAGUGGUGCCCAGUUGGGACGAUCGGGGAUCUAGCAUUUGGGGUUGUCUUCCUUUAUUUUGGUUCCGUAGUCGGACCUUGAUUGUACUCUGGAUGAUGUAUGUUUAACUUGUUAUUUGUGUGAAGUGGCGAUUGUAAGCCAACUUUUUAUCCCUUUCUUAUUCAGUACAUGGGAUCGUG
rnacentral:lncRNA from 1 species